GGCCAACAUUCUGGACAUCAUCCACAUACACAAGGAAGCUCUUACCAGAGUCCUCCUCAAGAUGGCCUGUGGUCUGCCUCUUGGCACCCGAGAAGCCCACAGUGCUGUAGAAGCCCCGAUGCUUGGACUAGAGCCCCAAAGGCGGCACACACCCCAGUUCUGAGCCUGCUGCUCAUUUCCUCUAUGUGGCUCCAUUUGCAGCACAUUUGUUGCACUGAGGCCUGUGCAUGCCAGGCAAAGCCAAGCUGGCUCAAAGAGCAACCACCCACCUCUGCAAGGGUGUGCCAGGAGCCAGUGGACCAGCCACCAACGUGACUCUCUGCCAGUCAGGGUAAAUCAUUUUUUCUGCCCUGGAGGUGGAGCCCCAGUGCCAUCUGCUUUUCCUCAGGCCUGCACUCCAUCAGCUGUCAGGUGGUGGUCACUCAGACUGUGGUAAACUGGCCAUCCCUAUUUCCUUGAGUGGGUGAGGUUGGUGACUGCUCCAUCUGCUCCUGGCACACCCUUGCAGAGGUGGCUGGUUGCUCUUUGAGCCAGCUUGGCCUUGCCUGGCAUGCACAGGCCCCAGGUACUGAGAAGCUGCUCCGAGUAAGUUUGUCUUGGGCCAAAUUCUAAGUCUGGCCAGGGCCACAGAAGGCCGAGUCCCAUGGGUGGUAAUCCUGGCUGCUGCAGGGGGGCCCAUGGUGCCCCUCCCCUCCCAGGGCUCAGGAUGAGGUCCGACUGGGACAGGAUGCUUUAGGUAUGGGACUUGUGCCCCAGGAGGGGACCUCUGUCACACACGUUGGGUGAGAAUAUGUAUGGCAUGCUGCUGGCUGCCAGGGCUGUUAGGAUGCACGUUCACCCUUACCUUCAGGGACCUCAAAGUGACCAGCUUCCGCUUUAUGAAUGACUUCCCAAGGCCCAGGAGCCAUUUGGGGCUGCAGAGCAGCUGGCUGCUAGCUGCCCUGGCUUCUUCCAUGUAGUGCUGGUCACUACCUACCAAGGGGGGUCAGAUGCAGGCACAAUGUAGGAUGAUUGUCUCUGGACCUGUGUCUUGGUUAUCAUGGAGCUAGACUGGGCCUGGUGACAGGGCCCUGAUGGGGUUGUCCUGUGUGGUCACGGAGGUGAUCAGAAAAGAUGCAGAAUGGAAUUGCUGCGAGGAUGAAUGAGAUGACUGUCAGCACAUAACAGGCAGCUGGUGAGUGUUCAGGGAUUACCCUCAGUAGCUGCCCAGAGGCCAAAACCAUCCACCUGAUAGUGACUUUUCCCAAACCAGGAGGAAGAGAAAAGAGCAGGUCCCACUCACCUGAAUCUGAUCAGUGAGCUGUGUUGAGAUGUGCCUCUCAUCUAGAAAAUGGUCCUUCACGCAGAGCUACUCACAGACACUGCUGUGUGUCUCUAACUGCUCCACAACACAGAGGCGAUGGGGACUCAGCAACAGUGACAUUGUGGGGUGACACAACCCACAACCAUGGGAGUCUGCUUGGGUCAACAGGGCCCAGAGUCAGUGUCCUCUAUCCCCUGAACUGACAUGUGUGUAUGCAAUGUAUUUGUGUAUGCAUGUGUGCCUGUGUGUGUGUGUGUGUGUGUGUGUGUGUGUGUGUGUAUGUGUCUUGCUUCUCUGGACAGGCCUAGCUUCUCCACUCAUGGGUGCACCCAGGUCCUCAUCACUGUCACCUUAGAGCAUUAGAGCCUCUAUAGUUGCUCCCCAAUCUCUACCCUCCCCACCCAUGGUGGUCCUGGGGAUGCAGACAGAGGAGGGGCACUGCAUAAUGCUGAGAGGCCUGGCACCCUCUCUAGGUGGAACACAGGUCAUUUGUAAAGUUGUAGGUCUGCCAAGCAGUAUUGGAUUCAACACAUCUUCUCACCUUCUCUUUCCAGCCACCCUCCAGGGUGCCCCAACUCACUUUCCCUGCAGAUGGAGGCAAGGAGCCUCCACAGACAACCCCCCUGCCUGAGGUCACAUAGUGGCCAGCAGGCCAGUUACUGACCAACUGCCCCUGACCAGGUUCCCAGUGAUGAGUGAUGAGGCCCCUAAUGACCACUCCUCCAUUGACCAGGUCCCACUGAUCAAGUCCCCACUGACCAUGUCUUCCUAACCAGGCCCACACUUAAUAGGCCUCAUGGGCCAGACCCCACUGACCAAUUUUCCACUGACCUGGUCCCCAUUGACAAGACCGGGUUCCCACUGACAAGACCACAAUUUACCAGGUUGCUGCUCACCCGACCCCCCACUGAACAAUUCUCCAUGAACGAGUACCCAGCUGACCGAGCCCCCUCUGACCAGGCCCUCACUGACCAGCCUCCAAGCCACUAAGGCCCCACACUGACCAGGCCAGUGAUAUAUUGUGUAUGCCCCACCAACCAGUUUUUCAUUGUUUAUGUUCCAACAGAUCAGGCCCCACUAAUAAAGCCACCACUGACUAGGUUCCCCCACUGACCAGGCUUCCUAUGGCUAGGUCACCAGGUCCCCACUGAUGAGGCCUUUACUGAGGAGGCCGCCACUAACCAGGCCCCUGCUGAUCAGGUCCCAAAUGACUAGGUCCUGAUGACCAGGUCAUCUCUGACCAUGGUCCACUGACCAGGCCCCGGAGCAACGGGGCUCAAAGUCUCAUUACAAUGUCCCCCUCAGCUCAUAGACCCUCCCUCCCUGCAUGUGUGCCCAGAGGUCAGGCCCUGGGGGUUUUUUUGGGACAUGGCCUUUCCUCCAAGACACAGGGAGAGACAGUUGGCCUCAGGCUCCAGGUUCCCAGCUCCACACUCACCCCAAAGGCCCUCUGGGCCCGUCUCAAAGGAGAAAGUGAGAUGGCCUGACACUGCCUGGACACACCAUCUACCCUAUUCCUGAGUGUCAGAGUGUGAGGAAGGGAGGGACAUUUAGCAGAUAAGGCACGCUGUGCUGUUGGGUCUCUCAGGGCCCUUCCCACAGAGCCCCGAUCUAAAGACACAACACAGAGGCUACAGGAAGACUAAUCCAGAACCUCUGAGACAGCCAGGGACCACAUGAGGACUCUCCCCAGACAGCCAGAAGGCCCUUUGCUAGUUUCUUGGUACCUCAGUGGAUGUGGCAGUGGUUCUUCUGUUGGGGACCAGUGAGUACACACUGGGGAGGGCUCACCUGUGCUUCCUCAGUGGCUCCACCUCUGCUUCUAAAAAAAAUUACUCAUUCCAGAGCUAGCGCAGAGAAAAUACAAGCUGAGCUUAGAACAUCUUCUGCCACAAAGUAAAAAAGUGCCGACAGAGUAAUGGAGACAAAUCAAAGAGACAUAAAGUCAGCUUGGAAUGUCUACUACUGGCCUAAUCUUGGGGAAUUGGAGCAUCAGAAUCAUGAGCUUUCCUUCUCCCUUAUUUAUUGGUUUUAUUUCUCCAUGUAGAACAAAGAAGAUAAUAAGAAAAUAAUCAUCUGGUAACCAUCAUAGUAAUAAUUGUUCAAACACAAGUCAUCCAUGAAAUGCUAAAUCUAGUGGGUUCUGAGGAGUAACCAGAUAUUUACAGAGCCUCAAAGUAUCUCCAUACAAAAUACGGUUGAACUACUAAAAGAAAAUUGUAACAUUAGCAUGGACAAACCUGAUGUGGCUUACCCGUGGAUUCCAGAGAAGAAAGUAGAUGGGAGCAAGUGUCCAAUACAGCAACAGCUGGAAAGAAAAAUAAAGAAUUUUGUUCUUUACCUAAAACACUUCAGUUAACUAAGUGUGAGUUUAAAAACUAAAGACUUGAGAACUUUAUCAGAGUUAAUAAGAACGAGAAAUAUGUAUGUACAUUUACAAUACAAAAUUACUAUUUAAUAAUUUACACAUGGCAUUAAUUCUAAUUGUGUUUAAAUAUCAGAGCUUUUUCAGGCUUCAUUCAUGUAAUCAACAGCCACAUGCUAAGGUACUCGAACCAGCAGUGGAAUUACAAGAUGAAGAUGGCAUGGUCCACCUCUCAACAGUCAUAAGCUAUAAUCUAAAAAACAGACAGGCAGGCAAUGUCUAUAUAGAGUCAUAUAUACCAUGACAGAUAUAGAGCAGGGCACUACUGGAACACAGAGAAGGGACAUCUACCCACUUUUAUGUCAAUAUCAUGGGCUUUCUGGUGGAGGAGAUAACAUAGGUUGAUACCUGAAGGACAAGGAAAAGCUUCCCAGAUAGAGGAAAGAGGCAAAGGCAAAGAGCCUGAGGUAAGGAAGAGCCCUGCAGAGUUCCACUCCAUCCAGUUUGGUGCUAGAGCAAAGGGCAGAGUGCAGUAAGCGGUGAGAAACAAGACUGAGUAACUUGACAAGAAUCACAUUGACAUGGGUGUUUUUAUUUCAUGGUGAAAAAUUUGGAACUUUUCCUGAGAACAAGUGUAAGCCAAUGACACAGUUAAUUAGAGGAGAUUUAAAAUGUCACCUGUCAAGUGACUGCUUAUGAAGGGUUAUUGCUCAGCUAAGUAUUUCUGAAUGAGUCUUAGGUCUGUUGGCCUUCAAUCUCUACCAAAACCCUGAGAACUUGAUGAUGCUUUUGUUUUCUGAGAAUCGUUUCAGUGUGCUGGCUGACAGUUCCAUGAGGAUGGCAAAACUUAAGAAAGUGUAGAGCCAAUGAAAAAGAGAUGCACAGACAUCUUGGGAACUGUUUAAGCUUUGGAACAUGAUGAAUUUAUGGUGCAUAAGUACAGUCUUCUCUGUGAAAGUUUUUGUUUUCACAUCUUUCAUUAGAUGUGUGUAAGAAAAAAAAUAUUGAUGUAGUAUCUACUAACCCAAGAAUGAAAAGGAAUG
rnacentral:lncRNA from 1 species